rnacentral:lncRNA from 1 species
ACAGAAAGAAGGAUCAGCUGGGUAGACAUCUGAGUCUGUCCUCAAUCCCCAUUACUAACAACCAGUCUGAAAUUCUAGAAUGUUUCAGAAAUAAGCCCAAAUUACAGAAUAAUGAAGUCUUGGUACCUCCUGAUUGUUAUCUUGUGAUUUGAAUAAUCAAAUUUACUUAUUUCCAGAUCAUUGAUACCUUUUAUUUGAAAAUCUGGGUUUGUAAGUAAGGUAUUUCUUUAUAGGGACAUUCUUUGAUAAAAUGACACAUUUUGAAAUCCAGUUAUUUUGAGCUUUCAUGCCUACAGACUGCCACACAAAAACCUACCCGCUUCAGGGACACUUUACAUAACUGUAGGUCUAACCUGAAUACGAGGGUGAGAAAGCCAAAAUAUAGCCCUUUGGGGAUGCUGAACAAAUGUGGCCCAAGGGCUACAUUCAGGACCCUAGGUUUUGGUUUUCGGGGAUAGGCCUUACAUCAAAUGUUAGCAAAAAUGGAAUCUUGGGGAGGUGGGCAAUCCUGUAACUUUGAGAAAUUGUUAUCUUUCUUAGAAAAGUGUGAGCCUAUCUAUAGAGUUUAAACUUGAACUGUGGUAACCUGUGAGGUUUAGGUUGGCAGUAGACUCAGAACAUGAGCUGAAGACAGCCAAGUCUUCAUAGAACUUGAUGCUUGGGGUAUGAAAAGUUUUAUUGGGAAAGUGCUCAUUGUCUGGUUCCACUUAAGUUCCUAGAGGGAAUAGAAUCAAAUGCUUCCAAAAGGCACCACAGGCCACAUAUCAGCCAGAACUAGGUAAAAUCUGACCUCAUUAAUCUUAAAAAUGUACCUUGACCACAUGAGUGGGAGCCUGCACAAGAAAGGAUGCUCCUCUGUGGCAGGCCCUGAACCCAGCAUCUGAGGUAGAACCAGACAGGAAGUGGCCACCACUCAGAAGAGGUUUCAGGGACCCAGGCAGAAGAGCUCCAGAGGUAGUAAGUAUGUAGCGAGUCAGAACAUCCUUCUGUAAUUAAAAGUAUGGCUAAGAGAAUUUUCUUUUCUGAAAUGUAGAAGCAAAGAAGUUCAUGGAAUGUAACUGCUCACAAGUAAGACUGUGCCUCAAAGGACUGAUGGAUCUCAGAUCUGUGGGUCCAGAGAUCAAAUGAAAGAUGCUGAGGGAACCAUGCUCAGUAGUGGAAAAGUGUAAGUAAUACCCCUAUACCAUCCUGCCCAAUUCUUUUACUCCAUAGAACCUAAGGAGUGCACAAAUUUCCAAAGAACCAGGUGGUUGGAUAAAAUCUCAGUUUUGGUGGCAAAGUGAAGACUUUGAAGGCCAUAGUUGGAACUGCAGGCAACUAUGAUUUAGAGGUGCUUGGUCACAUGUGCAGGUCUAUACCAC